rnacentral:rRNA from 1 species
GUGGGGAAUUUUGGACAAUGGGCGCAAGCCUGAUCCAGCAAUGCCGCGUGCAGGAAGAAGGCCUUCGGGUUGUAAACUGCUUUUGUACGGAACGAAACGGUCCGGGUUAAUACCCUGGGCUAAUGACGGUACCGUAAGAAUAAGCACCGGCUAACUACGUGCCAGCAGCCGCGGUAAUACGUAGGGUGCAAGCGUUAAUCGGAAUUACUGGGCGUAAAGCGUGCGCAGGCGGUUUUGUAAGACAGGCGUGAAAUCCCCGGGCUCAACCUGGGAAUUGCGCUUGUGACUGCAAGGCUGGAGUGCGGCAGAGGGGGAUGGAAUUCCGCGUGUAGCAGUGAAAUGCGUAGAUAUGCGGAGGAACACCGAUGGCGAAGGCAAUCCCCUGGGCCUGCACUGACGCUCAUGCACGAAAGCGUGGGGAGCAAACAGGAUUAGAAACCCGGGUAGUC